AAGACGGAAGAAAAAGUCUCUUGCCUCUUCGGCAGAUCCAGACUUUUCCCCGGACUCCCUCCCGGCUAGCCGUGGUGCACUAACCCCCUUCAGGCUGUGUUCACGCCGCCAACCCCAGUCCUCUCCCUGCGCUCCGACCGAAGCCUGAGCCUCAGCUUCCAGCCCCGCCGGCCUCGGCGGGGGAGCCGACAAACCUCUCGGGCUGAUUACAAAAGCAAGGUUCAGAGAACCCCAAGAUCACUUGGAACCCUCAAGAGGAAUUUCAGGAAAUUGUACCAAAUAUGAACCCUAAGUAAAUGUUUCCUCUUAAAAUGGAUCAUUUCUACCGAGGAGAUCAUUUCCUACCACGUAGCAGCAAAGUUUGAAAUAACAGAUUAUACUAUUUCUGGACAGCAGUAACAUGAACAGCAAAGGACUUCCAAGAG